rnacentral:rRNA from 1 species
CCUACGGGAGGCAGCAGUGAGGAAUAUUGGUCAAUGGACGAGAGUCUGAACCAGCCAAGUAGCGUGAAGGAUGACUGCCCUAUGGGUUGUAAACUUCUUUUAUAAAGGAAUAAAACGAGGCACGUGUGCCUUUUUGCAUGUACUUUAUGAAUAAGGAUCGGCUAACUCCGUGCCAGCAGCCGCGGUAAUACGGAGGAUCCGAGCGUUAUCCGGAUUUAUUGGGUUUAAAGGGAGCGUAGAUGGGUUGUUAAGUCAGUUGUGAAAGGUUGCGGCUCAACCGUAAAAUUGCAUUUGAUACUGGCAGUCUUGAGUACAGUGGAGGUAGGCGGAAUUCGUGGUGUAGCGGUGAAAUGCUUAGAUAUCACGAAGAACCCCGAUUGCGAAGGCAGCUUACUAAACUGUGACUGACAUUGAUGCUCGAAAGUGUGGGUAUCAAACAGGAUUAGAUACCCCGGUAGUC